CGGUUCGGCGUCUUGAUGGAGCAACGCCGCGUGAGUGAGAAGGUUUUCGGAUCGUAGAGCUCUGUUGUAGGAGAAGAACGUGUGUGACAGUAACUGGUCUUUAGGGACGGUAUCCUACCAGAAAGCGACGGCUUAAUACCUGCCGCCGCCGCGGUAAUUAA
rnacentral:rRNA from 1 species